rnacentral:rRNA from 1 species
ACGAACGCUGGCGGCAUGCCUAAUACAUGCAAGUUGAACGAUGAUAUUCUCUGCUUGCAGAGAAUUGAAGAGUAGCGAACGGGUGAGUAACACGUGGGGAACCUGCCCAUGAGAGGGGGAUAACAUUCGGAAACGGAUGCUAAUACCGCAUAAUGCUUUGGACCGCCUGGUCCAGAGACGAAAGACGGCUUUUGCUGUCACUCAUGGAUGGCCCCGCGCCGUAUUAGCUAGUUGGUGAGGUAAUGGCUCACCAAAGCUGUGAUACGUAGCCGACCUGAGAGGGUGAUCGGCCACACUGGGACUGAGACACGGCCCAGACUCCUACGGGAGGCAGCAGUAGGGAAUCUUCCACAAUGGGCGAAAGCCUGAUGGAGCAAUGCCGCGUGAAUGAAGAAGGUCUUCGGAUCGUAAAGUUCUGUUAUUAGAGAAGAACAAGUCAAGGAGUAACUGUCUUGACUUUGACGGUACCUAACCAGAAAGUCACGGCUAACUACGUG